rnacentral:rRNA from 1 species
AGCCCAGAGAAAUUUGGAUUAAUGCUCCAUAGUAUCAUUUUUUGGCAUCCUUAGAUGAUUAAAGAUUUAUCGGUAAAAGAUGGCUAUGCGUUCUAUUAGCUAGUUGGUAUGGUAACGGCAUACCAAGGCGACGAUAGAUAGGGGUCCUGAGAGGGAGAUCCCCCACACUGGUACUGAGACACGGACCAGACUCCUACGGGAGGCAGCAGUGAGGAAUAUUGGACAAUGGAGGCAACUCUGAUCCAGCCAUGCCGCGUGUAGGAAGACUGCCCUAUGGGUUGUAAACUACUUUUAUAGAGGAAGAAACCGCUCUACGUGUAGCGCUCUGACGGUACUCUACGAAUAAGGAUCGGCUAACUCCGUGCCAGCAGCCGCGGUAAUACGGAGGAUCCAAGCGUUAUCCGGAAUCAUUGGG